AAAGGGAUUCCCCCAGUAGCGGCGAAAAGGGACCCCAAAGAAUCCCGCCCCACGUGGAAAUGUGGCGUAUGGAGGCGCUUCCUUCCGAGCGUGCGGGGCGACCCAAGUCCCCAUGAACGGGGCGACCGAAGCGGGUGUGAGUCCCGUCCGGUCGCCUACCCUUCGGAGCACGGCGUCCUCCCGGGAGUCGGGUUGCUUGAAAGUGCAGCCCAAAGUGGGUGGUAUGCUCCACCUAAGGCUAAAUAUCCCCGAGAGACCGAUAGCGAAAAAGUACCGUGAGGGAAAGUUGAAAAGAACUUUGAAGAGAGAGUUCAAUAGUACGUGAAACCGCUCAGAGGCAAACGGGCGGGCCCUCGAAGUCCCAGGGCGGUUCAGUCGCGGGAACCCCCGUAGCGGGGCGCGCGGCUCGGCGCCAUCCUGGUCCGGCCGGGGGAUGCCCGCGCGCAUCCGUCCCGUCGUCGGGAGGCCGCGACCGGUCGGUCGCGGGUCGGAAGGAGGCAGGUGGCCCCCGCGGCUCGUCGCCGGGGUGUUACAGCUCUUUCCCGAUCCGCGUCGACCCGUCACGAGAGAACCUCGCUCGAACGCCCCCUUAACUUGCGGUCGCGAACCUUCUCGGUGGCCGUGGGCCGAUCGCGUCGUCGGGGGGCCGGAGGUCGGCGGUCAGUAGGCCGGGUCCCGCCCGACCCGUCUUGAAACACGGACCAAGGAGUCUAACGCGUGCGCGAGUCCGAGGGCUUUUUACAGACCCGAGGGCGGAAUGAAAGUGACCUCGCGAACCGGGACCGCCGGCCGCACCGGCCCGUCCACGCCGCUUCGUCGGCGGGGCGGAGCUCGAGCGGACGCUGGACCCGAAAGAUGGUGAACUAUGCCUGGGCACGAAGCCAGAGGAACUCUGGUGGAGGUCCGCAUUCUGACGUGCAAAUCGAUCCCGGUAUAGGG
rnacentral:rRNA from 1 species